GCCGCCUUAGCUCAGUUGGUAGAGCAAUCGCUUUGUAAGCGAAAGGUCCCCAGUUCAAGCCUGGGAGGCGGCU
rnacentral:tRNA from 1 species